rnacentral:misc_RNA from 1 species
GAUGAAGAACGUAGCGAAAUGCGAUAAGUAAUGUGAAUUGCAGAAUUCAGUGAAUCAUCGAAUCUUUGAACGCACAUUGCGCCCCCUGGUAUUCCGGGGGGCAUGCCUGUUCGAGCGUCAUUUCACCACUCAAGCCUCGCUUGGUAUUGGGCAACGCGGUCCGCCGCGUGCCUCAAAUCGACCGGCUGGGUCUUCUGUCCCCUAAGCGUUGUGGAAACUAUUCGCUAAAGGGUGCUCGGGAGGCUACGCCGUAAAACAAACCCAUUUCUAAGGUUGACCUCGGAUCAGGUAGGGAUACCCGCUGAACUUAAGCAUAUCAAUAAGCGGAGA